UACAGAGGGGGCAAGCGUUGUUCGGAAUUACUGGGCGUAAAGGGCGCGUAGGCGGCCUUCUAAGUCGAACGUGAAAUCCCCGGGCUCAACCCGGGAACUGCGUCCGAUACUGGAAGGCUUGAAUCCGGGAGAGGGAUGUGGAAUUCCAGGUGUAGCGGUGAAAUGCGUAGAUAUCUGGAGGAACACCGGUGGCGAAGGCGACAUCCUGGACCGGUGUUGACGCUGAGGCGCGAAAGCCAGGGGAGCAAACGGG
rnacentral:rRNA from 1 species